AUUGCACGCUGGCGGCAUGCUUUACACAUGCAAGUCGAACGGUAACAGGGUGCUUGCACCGCUGACGAGUGGCGAACGGGUGAGUAAUGCGUCGGAACGUGCCGAGUAGUGGGGGAUAACGCAGCGAAAGUUGUGCUAAUACCGCAUACGUACUGAGGUAGAAAGUGGGGGACCUUCGGGCCUCACGCUAUUCGAGCGGCCGACGUCUGAUUAGCUAGUAGGUGGGGUAAAGGCUCACCUAGGCGACGAUCAGUAGCGGGUCUGAGAGGAUGGUCCGCCACACUGGGACUGAGACACGGCCCAGACUCCUACGGGAGGCAGCAGUGGGGAAUUUUGGACAAUGGGCGAAAGCCUGAUCCAGCCAUGCCGCGUGUCUGAAGAAGGCCUUCGGGUUGUAAAGGACUUUUGUCAGGGAGGAAAUCCCUAGUGCUAAUAACACUGGGGGAUGACAGUACCUGAAGAGUAAGCACCGGCUAACUACGUGCCAGCCGCCGCAGUAA
rnacentral:rRNA from 1 species